rnacentral:sRNA from 1 species
UUGACAGCACUAGACAAUGAAGGUUCCUUUAUCCCCCGGAAAGCUACCGUGCAGGCAGUGCAAACUUCCCCAAACUGUCCUGCCAACGUGCUGCUUUGACCUGGAGGGGGAGCACCUUUAUGGUGACAGGAUAAUUUGAUCUCUGUGCCAUUUAAUCCUUAUUCUCA